rnacentral:lncRNA from 1 species
GUAAGAGAUUGUGGGCCAAGGUUGGGUGGAGACAGAUGGGGAAAUGCUAAUGUUUGUAAUUUUGGUGAAAAGGGGGACCCAGAGAAUAAUGGGUUCCAAGGUGGGAACUCGGGUGUGUCGAGGAUGGGAACGAAGCCAGAGACCAGAGGACCACCUGACAUGGUUAAACAGCCCUGGCUUAACGUUCCAGACACUGCUGCCAAUACUUGCGGCUGUUAGUUCCUGAUUUCUGCUUAAGGCUUUGCAGUUCUGCUUAUAGUCCUGUGAUCAGAGACACUUCCUCCUGUGGCAGCUGAAUUCCACGUUUCCCGAAACAGGAUUUCCCUAUUUUGUAGAGAACUUCCAUGAUUGAAUCUUCCUGCUUCUGGAAAUAAAAUGGGUAGUCCCUUGCAUACAAAGCUUGGAGGGUGUCUCUCAUUCUUCUCUUCUUCUGCUUUUUCUCAUCUACCUGAGAAUAAUUUUAAAUGGAUCGAAGGAAUGAAUGUCAGCCACCAAACUGAGAAGUUGACUUGCCUUUAAUCACCUGUAACUUUGUUAGAAUAAUAAAUUCUGUAGAAAGCUAA